CCCUGUACACAUUGUAGCCCUUUGCUGAGUGCAGAAAGAAAGUUUUAAAGGGUUAGCGUUAGUCGUUUUGAUGGUUUCGUUUUUACCCUUUUUUAUCUUCUCAUCAUCUAAUUUACAAUUUUUUAUAUGUUUUCACGGGCUAUGCUUGAUAACAAUGUUGUUACGGUGAAAGUCUUCUUAACAUUCCACUUGUGUUUAUAAACCUCUUUUCCAAGCACAUUAAUCAUUGUAGCAGGUACAGACACUAAGUACGAAGAUUGUUCUGAUACCACGUUACCGCAAUAUAAAGGGCGUAAGUUACUGGCAACCAUUGACACAUUGUAGUACCUAUCAAAGGUGGUUUUAUCUUUGAGGAAACAGAUGAAGUUUUUCAUUUGACCCUGGAUAAUUAUUACGCCUCACCAGAGUUAGCAUUGGUUUUAGAUCAUCAAACACUCCUUGCUAUUGGACUUUGAGGCGCAAAGAAGGCGUACCGAAAAACGUCUAAUUUGGAAACCUGCGAAAGGUGGUGUCAAAAUCAGAACGCAUGGCAAUCUUAUGUUAAUGAGGUGGAAUGACAUUACUAAGACAAAACUACAAAAUUGCAAGUAUGCUGUCUGCAAUACAUACUGGAUAAUUCGCUAAUAGUGGCAAAAAAGAACCGAAUAACUGGUAAUCCUGUUAUGAAGCGAGACGUUAUCAAAAAUAUAACAAAAACAUGAGCGGUGUGUUUUGAAGCUUAUUAUACAUUAAAAGAUUAUAGUUGUGUGAACAAAAACCAAAAUUGAAAAUAAAACUAAGAUGUUAUGACUUGUUUUUGUGAGAUUUACACUUAGUGUAAAAAUAAACUGCGCAAAAAGUUUUUAUCAAAAUGGAACGUAUGGUGCUCUGUAUGUUCGCUCUCCAUUUUCGUUCUAAUACAAUUAUUUACAAUGGUUUACUAAAAUAAAUUUGA